rnacentral:rRNA from 1 species
GACGCACCGUGCAAACGUUAUUCGGAAUCACUGGGCUUACAGGGUGCGUAGGCGGCUCAACAAGUCAGGUGUGAAAGCCCCCGGCUCAACCGGGGAACUGCGCUUGAAACUGUUAGGCUCGAGUCAGCUAGAGGUACACGGAACUUCCAGUGGAGCGGUGAAAUGUGUUGAUAUUGGAAGGAACACCGGAGGCGAAAGCGGUGUACUGGGGCUGGUCUGACGCUGAGGCACGAAAGCCAGGGGAGCGAACGGG